GACAGGGCCCAAAGAUCUCCUCCACUGUACGGUGGACUUACGCAGGUCUUGGAAGAAUGUGUUUAGCGGUAGAUGCCUGUAUGUGCCCCCUCCCUCAGUACAGCGGGUGUAGGAACCCCUUCCCUAGGACUCAUUGCUGGUUCCUCAUAUUGAGGCCGAGGUUCAGCAGACAUGGCGGUAUGGUACGCCAGGACGGCCAUCUUAUAAGUAGCAGGGCACUGUAGCAUGGUGCCGAUAUCAUGAGUGUCUUUGGAUGCACG